rnacentral:rRNA from 1 species
AUUGAACGCUGGCGGCAGGCCUAACACAUGCAAGUCGAACGAGUGGCGGACGGGUGAGUAAUGUCUGGGAAACUGCCUGAUGGAGGGGGAUAACUACUGGAAACGGUAGCUAAUACCGCAUACCAUCAGAUGUGCCCAGAUGGGAUUAGCUGGUUGGUGGGGUAACGGCGCACCACGGCGACGAUGCCUAGCUGGUCUGAGAGGAUGACCAGCCACACUGGAACUGAGACACGGUCCAGACUCCUACAGGAUGCAGCAGUGGGGAAUAUUGCACAAUGGGCGCGAGCCGGAUGCAGCCAUGCCGCGUGUAUGAAGAAGGCCUUCGGGUGGGAAAGUACUUUCGGCGGGGGGGCGUUACCCUCGGAAGAAGCACCGGCUAACUCCGUGCCAGCAGCCGCGGUAAUAC